rnacentral:sRNA from 1 species
UUUCUUUGAUAAUUUUUUU